CGCAUGGUAUUUUUUUUAAGAGGAGGGAAAUCUUGCGGGAAUCAGAUAAAACACCACACGGGUCAACUCUCAGCAGCGAAGGAGACUCAGGGGAAUCCGUGAGGAUGAGAAAUCACUGCAAUCUGUCCCCCCGUCUCUAAAGAAGUGCCUGUGUGUUUCUCCCUCUGCUGCGGCCGUGCAGCGUUCGCCCCAUGAGCAGGGGUGGGGGGAGUUUAAGCGUCCAUAGUUUGUUUAAAUACGGGCAGGAGAUAUAAAAGGUCCAUUGAUCUCCAAAGUUCAGCCAAGGAGCUGAGGAAGCAGUUCCAAAAUGAAAGUAAAAAAAUUAAAAAUAAAAAGGCAAAUGCAACGUAAAAUUACAGAUUGCAACAGGCAACGCUGAGCUCUUGCAGUCCGGCUUUGCUUUUUUCACGUGGAUCUGAAGAAGAGUUGUAAAGAUUUAUUUUCAAAAGUUCCCGUAGAAGCAGCAGACGUAGCAGCGCCAGCUCGCUCUCUUCCUCCCUUGCCUUCAAUAUGUGACUGUAUAAUUCAGCCUGAGCAUUUAGUCACUAGCAGUCGGUGAGGGUGAGUUGUUGGUGGGUUGUUGUUGUUAUUGUUGUUUUUAAAGCCAGAGAGAACGGAUCAACACCAAAGCCUCCUUUCAGCCGAUCAACCUGGAGAAAGAAAGCGUGCUGCUGGAAUAAAAAUAAAGCGAUAAAAAUACCAUGUGUUCAUUUAACUCCCUGUCUGAGACAGAGUGAUUCCGAUCCUGCAGUCACGCCUCAAACUGUAAACUAAGUGGGAGAUUAACUCUCUCAGCAAGGUACGCACUGACGUCACCCUUAGCCUCCAGCCGACAAUCUGCCCCUGACCUCAGCAUCACCAGAAACAUCAGAAAAGCACCAGCCGCUCGCAGGCUUGAGGACAGCUUGCCUGGUAGAAUUCUGACCAAGAUAAGAAAGAGACCCAGACAUACACCUGUGCCAAAGACAUAGAAAUAGAUCCUCUGCACCUGUCACAGUAGAUGGGGAUAAAAUGUAAAUGUAUGAUGUGUGAAGAGCUAGUAAAUGUGAUUUACAGGUUCAGGACAAGAUCUGCUUUGUGUUUGUUAUCCAUAACAACUACAGAUUAAGUUAAUGAUUCAGAUUUAAAUGUAAAGCUCUUGCCAUUUAUAAGAUACGCAUCACUUAGAUAUCACAGUGAUGCGUAUUCUAGAAAAAUGUAAGAUGGAGAAAUAAUAAAUGUAUACUACUACUUGCA
rnacentral:lncRNA from 1 species